CGCCCAACAGCUAGCCCAAACAACCAACACCAACAAACCCCUGUUAAUACCCCCUAAGUACCCCAGUAUUUAGUUUAAACAAACCAUUUUUCCCCCUUAGUAUAGGCGAUAGAAAAG
rnacentral:rRNA from 1 species